GAUGAACGCUGGCGGCGUGCCUAAUACAUGCAAGUCGAGCGAACGGACGAGAAGCUUGCUUCUCUGACGUUAGCGGCGGACGGGUGAGUAACACGUGGAUAACCUACCUAUAAGACUGGGAUAACUUCGGGAAACCGUAGCUAAUACCGGAUAAUAUUUUGAACCGCAUGGUUCAAAAGUGAAAGACGGUUUUGCUGUCACUUAUAGAUGGAUCCGCGCCGCAUUAGCUAGUUGGUAAGGUAACGGCUUACCAAGGCAACGAUGCGUAGCCGACCUGAGAGGGUGAUCGGCCACACUGGAACUGAGACACGGUCCAGACUCCUACGGGAGGCAGCAGUAGGGAAUCUUCCGCAAUGGGCGAAAGCCUGACGGAGCAACGCCGCGUGAGUGAUGAAGGUCUUCGGAUCGUAAAACUCUGUUAUUAGGGAAGAACAUAUGUGUAAGUAACUAUGCACAUCUUGACGGUACCUAAUCAGAAAGCCACGGCUAACUACGUG
rnacentral:rRNA from 1 species